UACGAGGGGGGCGAGCGUUGUUCGGAAUUAUUGGGCGUAAAGGGUGCGUAGGCGGUUUGGUAAGUCUUAUGUGAAAUCUACAGGCUCAACUUGUAGUCUGCAUGAGAAACUGCCGGGCUUGAGUAUGGGAGAGGUGAGUGAAAUUCCUGGUGUAGCGGUGAAAUGCGUAGAUAUCAGGAGGAACACCUGUGGCGAAAGCGGCUCACUGGACCAUAACUGACGCUGAUGCACGAAAGCUAGGGGAGCAAACAGG
rnacentral:rRNA from 1 species